UGUUCCUUACCCAUUCUUGGUGCUUUCUCCCUUUAUCAGUAAGAUUGCAUCCAUGGGCGCCCCUUGGGUGUGUUCGGAUGCACUUAUCCUUGUGCUUCCUCGAACACUUUUCUCGAUCCAUCCCAUCCGACGAUCAGUCUGUCCGACCCGAUCCGUCAGACGAUCGGCCUGUCCCAUCCGACCCGUCCGACGAUCGGUCUGUCCGAUCCGUCUGGCCGAUCCGAUCCGUCUGACGAUCGGUCUGGCCAAUCUGAUCCAACGAUCGGUCUACCAGAUCCGAUUCGUCUCUAAGACGAACGGUUUACCCUCUCCAUCCUCUACACUCCAUCGAACCGUUGGAUUGGGAGGUAGCAUGCGCAUCAGUUCGGUCGAGUUAUACUCGCCGAGCAGCACCCCCUUUCCGACCAACAACUCUAGGAUGUGUUGGAACUCCUUUAAGAAUGUUUUAUGGUGUUUUGGAUGUUGUGAGAUGAUGUGAGAUGCCUUGGGCGUCCUCCCUUAUAUAGGAGGCGAAUGGAUGCUUCCCGAAGCAUCACAUCUGGUCCUUGCACCCUUCCGAAAGGUCACAUCCGUUCUUUGCAUCCUUUCGAAAGGUCACAUCUGUUCCUUGCAUCCUUUGGGCGAUGCAACCGUUCGUUGGUACCCGCUCGACCUUACACCUUUGGCCGAGACACCUCUUCACCCGUGAGCUACCACAGUCCACCAGCUCGAGUGUCAGCUGACCGGACCACCCAACUGGGUCAGUACUUGAUUAGCUCACCGAGCUCAGUCGAGCUGUCGGUCAGCUCACCUAGCUGAGCUAGCUAGUCUUACAGCUGGUUUAGCUCACCUAGCUUAGCUAGCUAGUUCAUCCAGCUUGUCCAGCUCACCUAGCUGGUUCGGCUUGAACUUUCUCGUUCUUCCUACUAAGUAUUUUGGUCUGUUCCUCGACCAUGAUCUAGUUUUCUCCUAAAACAAACCGACCUUUUUUAUGAACGCGGGACGCGGUCGUUACACAUCCCACAUCAAUCAUCAGGAAAAUAAUUCAUCAAUUAAUUUUUCUACACAUCCUAGAACCGUAAUCGCUCUGAUACCAAAUUGAAACAACCCGACCCAUUUUUAAAAAAAA
rnacentral:sRNA from 1 species